rnacentral:lncRNA from 1 species
GUUGCCUUCUGCUUUGGGAAGGAAAGGAACAGAGCAGCUGAGGAACACAAGGCAGAAAGAGCUCUGAAGGAAAGGACAAAUACUGUACAUCUCAAUAAGAAACACAUUGGCCUCUUCAAAAUGAGUGUCUUGUCUCGAAAUCUGCCUGGUCAAGGAUCCGAGUGAAUGCUGCGUGUGGGUCUGGCUCUGCUUCCACAGUGAAUCUUGCUCCUGCCAUCAUCACCUGCUCCUCCUAGAAGUCCAUAAGAAGAGCGCUGAUGAAUCAGGCCAGUGGCCAGGUACGCAUAGAGGAGAAAUUCUGCGGAGCUGGAGAGGAGAGCGAGAGAGCGCUGAAUGCAAAAGCCUGCCUGCGAGGAAGAGUGGGGAGAAGGACUCUUCAGGCAUUUAAACUGGGGAUGAGGAAGCUGUGGUCCUCCAUGCACGGUUGGACGAUGACUUCCAUUGUCCCUGAUCAUUGGCCAGGCUUGCUGGGGCUGAUGGGAGCUGGAGUCUGGUUCCCCAUCCCACAUUUGUGUGGCAGAGCUGCUCUGUCCUCGUCUGGGAGAGAAGAAAGCUUCCGGGAAAGGACUGCUUCCCUAUCGAGGGCUAGACAGCCUCUGGCUGCAACUUGGAGAAAGUGGGCCUGCUUUUCCUUUCUCCCUCCUAUUUCUUUUUCGCUGUGUGCUGCGUAAUUUUAGAUUACCAUCUUAAGAGCAGGCACCUUCAUAGAACUGCUUUUCUGAGAGCCCUUUUUCAUUACUAAAGGGCAAGGAAAAAAUACUGUAAAUAAAUAAAUAGAUGCACACAUGCAUGUAAACCAUGUUUUGGUUCUGAGGACAUCUUUGCUGCCCAGAGGGCUGUCACUGAGCUUGGGCCAAGCUCUGCUUAGACAUCAGAAGCUGCUUCAUAUCCCAGGCCUGUUUGUCCAUCAAAAUGAAAUGGACUUAUUCAACCAUUCCUAUCUCAGGCAGGCCUGAGGAAGACUCCUGCCUGAAAUCCUGGAGAGCUGUGGCUGGCCAGUAUUGACAGAGUUGAGCUGGAUGGGCCAAUGGUCAGAUAAUGGGGAUGAUGGUGAUGAUGGUGAUGAUAAUAAUAAUAAUAAUAAUAAUAAUAAUAAUAAUAAUAAUGUAUUAUUUGUACUCUACCCAUCUGACUGGGUUUCCCCAGCCACUCUGGGCAGCUCCCAAUAGAAUAUUAAAAACACCAUUGUCAGGGAACUGCCAUCAGUGCCGGAGGGAGAGAGCGAGCUCCAGAGGGAUCCCAGAGAGCGUCCCGGGAUUGGGAGAAGCAGCCCAUCUUCUGGGGAAGGGAAUCAGCUUAGCUCCAGUGGAGAAGGGGGGCAGAUGGG